GCUGAGAUGGCUCAGCUGGUACAGCAUGAGACCCUUAAUCUCAGGGUUGUGGGUUCAAGCCCUAUGUUGGGCC